CUCCGUGGAGGAGGAGAAAAAAAUCGGGAGCGUUCUCUGGGUCCCGCUUGCGGAUUCUGUUGCGAGGCGAGUGGAAGCAGCAAGGAUCGCACGACUAACAGAGGGAUCUGUUUUUACUUCAUCCCAUAAAAGAACACUACAUAGCUGUAAACUGGACUGUUAAGAGAAAAUGACUGACCUAAGUAUAACAAAAGUUCAAUUCCUGGUCAUUAAAUCUUGCCCAGUCUUAAGAAUUUUUCCCCCAAAAAAGCUGCAAGUGCAUCCA